rnacentral:rRNA from 1 species
ACUCCUACGGGAGGCAGCAGUGGGAAUAUUGGACAAUGGGGGGAACCCUGAUCCAGCCAUGCCGCGUGUGUGAAGAAGGCCUUAUGGUUGUAAAGCACUUUAAGCGAGGAGGAGGCUACUAGUAUUAAUACUACUGGAUAGUGGACGUUACUCGCAGAAUAAGCACCGGCUAACUCUGUGCCAGCAGCCGCGGUAAUACGGAGGGUGCAAGCGUUAAUCGGAAUUACUGGGCGUAAAGCGUGCGCAGGCGGUCUGUUAAGCGAGAUGUGAAAGCCCCGGGCUCAACCUGGGAACUGCAUUUCGAACUGGCAGACUAGAGUCUUGUAGAGGGGGGUAGAAUUCCAGGUGUAGCGGUGAAAUGCGUAGAGAUCUGGAGGAAUACCGGUGGCGAAGGCGGCCCCUGGACAAAGACUGACGCUCAGGCACGAAAGCGUGGGGAGCAAACAGGAUUAGAUACCCUGUAGGCUCU